CCACGAUGCAUAGCCGACCUGAGAGGGUGAUCGGCCACAUUGGGACUGAGACACGGCCCAAACUCCUACGGGAGGCAGCAGUAGGGAAUCUUCGGCAAUGGACGAAAGUCUGACCGAGCAACGCCGCGUGAGUGAAGAAGGUUUUCGGAUCGUAAAACUCUGUUGUUAGAGAAGAACAAGGAUGGGAGUAACUGUUCAUCCCUUGACGGUAUCUAACCAGAAAGCCACGGCUAACUACGUGCCAGCAGCCGCGGUAAUACGUAGGUGGCAAGCGUUGUCCGGAUUUAUUGGGCGUAAAGCGAGCGCAGGCGGUUUCUUAAGUCUGAUGUGAAAGCCCCCGGCUCAACCGGGGAGGGUCAUUGGAAACUGGGAGACUUGAGUGCAGAAGAGGAGAGUGGAAUUCCAUGUGUAGCGGUGAAAUGCGUAGAUAUAUGGAGGAACACCAGUGGCGAAGGCGGCUCUCUGGUCUGUAACUGACGCUGAGGC
rnacentral:rRNA from 1 species